UCGAGCGGUAAGGCCCUUCGGGGUACACGAGCGGCGAACGGGUGUGUAACACGUGGGUGAUCUGCCUCGCACUCUGGGAUAAGCCUGGGAAACUGGGUCUAAUACCGGAUAUGACCUUACAUGCAUGGUGUUUGGUGGAAAGAUUUAUCGGUGCGAGAUGGGCCCGCGGCCUAUCAGCUUGUUGGUGGGGUAAUGGCCUACCAAGGCGACGACGGGUAGCCGGCCUGAGAGGGCGACCGGCCACACUGGGACUGAGACACGGCCCAGACUCCUACGGGAGGCAGCAGUGGGGAAUAUUGCACAAUGGGCGAAAGCCUGAUGCAGCGACGCCGCGUGAGGGAUGACGGCCUUCGGGUUGUAAACCUCUUUCGACAGGGACGAAGCGCAAGUGACGGUACCUGUAGAAGAAGCACCGGCCAACUACGUGCCAGCAGCCGCGGUAAUACGUAGGGUGCGAGCGUUGUCCGGAAUUACUGGGCGUAAAGAGCUUGUAGGCGGCUUGUCGCGUCGAUCGUGAAAACUUGGGGCUCAACCCCAAGCUUGCGGUCGAUACGGGCAGGCUUGAGUACUUCAGGGGAGACUGGAAUUCCUGGUGUAGCGGUGAAAUGCGCAGAUAUCAGGAGGAACACCGGUGGCGAAGGCGGGUCUCUGGGAAGUAACUGACGCUGAGAAGCGAAAGCGUGGGUAGCGAACAGGAUUAGAUACCCUGGUAGUCCACGCCGUAAACGGUGGGUACUAGGUGUGGGUUUCCUUCCACGGGAUCCGUGCCGUAGCUAACGCAUUAAGUACCCCGCCUGGGGAGUACGGCCGCAAGGCUAAAACUCAAAGGAAUUGACGGGGGCCCGCACAAGCGGCGGAGCAUGUGGAUUAAUUCGAUGCAACGCGAAGAACCUUACCUGGGUUUGACAUACACCGGAAACCUGCAGAGAUGUAGGCCCCCUUGUGGUCGGUGUACAGGUGGUGCAUGGCUGUCGUCAGCUCGUGUCGUGAGAUGUUGGGUUAAGUCCCGCACCGAGCGCAACCCUUAUCUUAUGUUGCCAGCGCGUAAUGGCGGGGACUCGUGAGAGACUGCCGGGGUCAACUCGGAGGAAGGUGGGGACGACGUCAAGUCAUCAUGCCCCUUAUGUCCAGGGCUUCACACAUGCUACAAUGGCCGGUACAGAGGGCUGCGAUACCGUGAGGUGGAGCGAAUCCCUUAAAGCCGGUCUCAGUUCGGAUCGGGGUCUGCAACUCGACCCCGUGAAGUUGGAGUCGCUAGUAAUCGCAGAUCAGCAACGCUGCGGUGAAUACGUUCCCGGGCCUUGUACACACCGCCCGUCACGUCAUGAAAGUCGGUAACACCCGAAGCCGGUGGCCUAACCCCUCUGGGAGGGAGCCGUCGAAGGUGGGAUCGGCGAUUGGGACG
rnacentral:rRNA from 1 species